AGAAACAUAAUCAAGCAAACUCAUCCAAGCAGAUGCGAAUAGCCUACAAUGUCAGUACUCAAACCACCAGUAGCAGGCUUAGGACUAGAGUUUGCCAGUCAGACCACUACACCUUUGCCAGCACCACCACCCAGCAAGCUUCAUCAACUCCAGCCAUGCCGAGUUUACCAAUCAGACCUACACCUCUGUCAAAUUCGCUCACAACGCUGCCAGUAACACCCCAGCAAGGUAGAACUGCAUUUUCAUUAAUCUGGCACCAAUGUCAAGGGAGAAACAAGC